UGAUUUCUUCAGUUUUUGGAUUAUGUAAUCCAUAAUUUGUAACUGAAUUCGUAUAACCAAUAAACAUUAAUUUCUUUUUUUGAUGUUUUGUCAAAUUUCGAACGUUUUGAUCUAGGUGAUCUAAGUUGAUGAUGGUAUGCUUCACACCCAAAGAUGUACACAUAGCUUUAGCCCACAAUUUAUGAGAAGCAGAUCCAAAGAUUCGUGAAUCUUUAUUCGAUCGAAUUGUUGUAUAAUCUGAAAUCACAAUUUCAUACUAUUAGAAUGGAGUAUAAAUUUAAUAUGAAAAUCAAAUAAAAACUUGAUUUAGUUAUAAACAUAAA